rnacentral:rRNA from 1 species
CCCAGCUCGGAUCGCAGGCUGCAACCCGCCUGCGUGAAGUCGGAAUCGCUAGUAAUCGCGGAUCAGCAUGCCGCGGUGAAUACGUUCCCGGGCCUUGUACACACCGCCCGUCACACCAUGAGAGUCGGGAACACCCGAAGUCCGUAGCCUAACAGCAAUGAGGGCGCGGCCGAAGGUGGGUUCGAUAAUUGGGGUGAAGUCGUAACAAGGUACC